rnacentral:snRNA from 1 species
AUCUUUGCACAGUGGCAGUAUUGUAGUCUAUGAGGUUUAUCCAAGACAUGAUUAUUGCUAGUUGAAAACUUUACCCAAUACCCCGCCUUGCUGACUUGAAAUAGAGUUGGCAAUGGCAAUUUUUGAUAGUCUCUCAGGAGA